rnacentral:misc_RNA from 1 species
UAAACAAAGUCAAUAUCAAAAACCCAAUUGAAAAUUCAUAUUCAAGUAUUAUGUACAUGAAAUUUUCUAUAAGAAAACCCUAGUUUUGGAGCACCAAGCGUUUGGCACAAACAGAGCAAUAGUACCUCCUCUUGGUCUUGAAGUACAGAGGCAAGAAACAGAACCUCCACUGGCUUUCUACAUCCAUGGACUGAAUCAUCCCUCCACAGUAAGGACAAGCUCCAGGCGCUACCUGUCUCCCUA